UCACUAUUUAAGCAGAGAUAUGCCUCAGAUAUACUCUUUACAGGAAAUGGACUCGGACUUCGUGUGCUUGUUCCAUGGCUUACUCAGAUAGUCAUGCAGGAGCUGGGAAACAGUAGGAAGGAGCAAGGCAUGGAGCAAAGUAGAGCUACGAAGAUUUCCCUGCUUGAGAUACGGCACCUAAGGAGGAGUUGGCUUUUGGAUGAGGCCCUUCUCUGGCUGUGUGGAAGUACUGAUCUAAAUCUGCACUGAAGGAGGCAGACAGCUACCACAAGAGCAUUCUCCCUGUGUUGAGAAUACCACUGGAAGCCUCCAAGAUUCUGCAUGGCUCCUCUGGCCUGUGCUGAUGUGCUGGCAGCUACUGCACGUUACAGCUGACACAAAGCCUUGAUGCUGACAGAGGUUGCAUGUGGUUUUGCUGCAGGCCAGCAGUCAGCCCCAGCGAUACCAUCCAGCCCUGCCCUGCUGCCGACCUUUCCUGCCACUUCUCACUUUUCAUUUGUUUGCUUUCUUUAUCAGCCCUGACCCUUGUCAAUACAAAGCACAGAACUGGGUGUGUGGGAGUUAGGGAGGAGGCUGCAGCCCUCUGUGAACUGUUAUUUUCGGACAGAGAUUGGCUGCAGUCAUUUAUCCCUUGCCAAAGAGUUUAAAAACGGCACGCUUGCUGAUCCAGGUGAUUUUACGAGGAGGUGGUGCCUGCCAUUUCCCAUCACAGCUGCUGAUUGCUAAUCAUACAGCUGAUAUACUGCGGACAGCUGAGUUAAAGGGAAUUCCCGUAAGAGCCUCAUGCCAUACAGAUAACAGUUUCUUUAAGAGCCUGAAAAUUCUCAGACAGGUGAAUUUUUCCACUCCAGGUUGGAUGGGGCCAUGGGCAGCCUGAUCUAGUGGGUGGCAACCCUGCCCACGGCAGUGGAGUUGGAACUAGAUGGUCUUUAAGGACCCUUCAACCCAAGCCAAUCUAUGAUUCCCUGAUUCUGUGAUUCCUCUUACUACAGUUCAUGUUAGUGGCUUGGCUGUUAGGAAGAUAAUCCUUGGGAUUAGGGUGAGGACAGAGUCAUACAUAAAUAUAGCAAAUGGAAAACGCUCCACUUGUCAUUCAUAAAGCUCUCCUUCUAGGAACGGAGGGGAUGGCUGCCGGUCACAGAGAGCAGGGCAAACAUGUCUCCUCUGUGCAGUUUGGUGUUUUUUUCUGAUUUUGUAGUAGUCAGAAACUGCAAUUUUUUUGAAGUCGCCUUUUCACACAUCUAAAUGAAACCUUAAAAAUCAGUUUGGCUAAGAAGGUAAUGAGUAUGAAGUAUAAAUUAUCAUCCUUCAUUAGAAGCUUUUCACCCUGCUUUAUCCCUUCAUCGUAUAGACUCAUGUUGCCAUAGAAGAAGCAGCAAUGUCAGAACAUGACUUAAAAUAAUUCCACUGAUCAAGUGUUAAUUGCACUCUUGUACAAUCAAAGCAGACUGCUCAGGAACACGUUAAGCUUACCUUUGUGACAGUAAAUCAUUGCCAAACCCUCCUUUGGCCAAACUCUUCUGCAAACACUGUUAUAACAGUAAACAUUUUAUUGGCUCAGAGCUGGAAGGGACCAUUAAAACUCUGGUUACCAUAAAUUGUGACAUUUCUUGCACAGCAGCUGUACAUGUACAUGUUCCCAUUGCCACGGCAGAUGCAAGAGUGAAGUGGGUUAACCCAACUGUCUGCUCGCCUCAAGGUAACUCAGAAUGCUGCAGCGUAUUUUCACUUGUAAUUAAGCUGCCUCAAACUGCCCUCAGAGCAGCAGUGAUCGGGGAUGCGAUGGAUGCUUCAGGUGGCACAAUCAUUUUACCCCUCAGUAACCUGUGUAAUGGCUUUUGUUCAUGGUCUGUGUCUUUGAUCGCCUUCUUGACUUCUUUAAUAUCACAAGGCAUUAUCAGGAUAUUUCAUCAUUUUGCGGGUUGCAAAGUCUCACUCAGCACCAUUUUAUUAAUCCAUAGUGUUAAUGGAGUCUUUCAAUGGCAAAGAGUUUUCCAGCAAAAAUAAGGGAUCAGGACGGGCUUGUGGCCCAUUACUAGAUGCAAGGUCAAUUGUGCUCCUUCAAACGACAAUCUGACUUCUAAGGAAAAAGAUUAUGCCCAUACUUUCACCGUGUUAGAUGUAAAAAUGUACUCUUGCACUGUACUGAGAACUAUUUUUGCAUUAAAAAUGACUAAAAUGUGUAGCUGCACCACAGCAGCAUUCUAGUCCUAUUGGAGCUAAUUGUGAAACCUGUAAUGCCUUCUAGCAGAGGAAGAUCAAAACGUAUGCAUAUAAACAAUACAGUGUUUAAAUAAAUCCAAGUUAUAAGCAUAUGUUUCACUAUAAAUUGAUUCUGUUGAUCUUAGAAAUCAAGAUGUCAAAUAAUGUGUUUUCCUUUCUGUACUGUCCAUUACUCUUCAGGUAUUUAGACACUGAGGGUCAUGCACAUGCAUUACAGGGUUAAUGCCAUGCUCAGGCCAUUAAUAGUAAGAUGGCAAGAAAACAGAAGAAAAAAAAACACCAUUUAUGUGAGACAAGACAGGAGAAUUUAUUGACUGAAGUGUCUUUAUCUUCAUGUUCAUUUUUCAUUUUAAGAGGUGUAAGUAUAAACCAUCAUCAUUAUCAUUUAGAACCAAUCAAAGCCAGGAAUGACAUCCAAAGGUCUGAUUAAGGCUUUACUUGCAUGAUGCAGAUGGGUUUUGUCUUGAUGACAGAUAAAUCCCUCACUACUGAAGAAUAACAUCAUGAGAGCAGAAGUCAGGGAAAUAAACUGUGACAAAGAGAGCCAGUGAUAGAUGGCCAAGUGAGCAAGGGACUGACAGCAAGGACAUAUGGAUCCAGUUCUCAGCUCCAUCACUGUCUGAGUAUGUGACCAUGAACAAGAAGCCUGUGCAUAUUCCUUCAUCUGGAAUGUCCAUCAGACAAUAUGGACUUAGCACAAGAGCACGUUAGUAUUCCAGAAAAAGAUUUUGAAAUUUACCUCAUGGGACAGGCUGCAGUACUGAAGAUUUUUAAAGCCAUACAGGAAUUGGUGGUCUUGGGAUCAUCUGUGGCUAUUGGUCAGUUACCUGAUGUCUUGUAUUUGUUAGAGGUGAACAGAAGGAUUCUGUGACACUGCAUCCAGAGUUGACAUGUGAAUCCUUGUGGACUGACGAUCAAGUAUACAAUUUCUUGUAGCUGGGAAAGGUUGGCAUGAUGCCUCAUCCUGGAAGCAUUCAAGGGUUGAUGGGGCUGUGAGACAACCUGGUCCAAAGGGAGGUGUCCCUGUCUAUAGCAGGGGUUGGAAGUAGAUGAUCUUAAAUGUUCCUUCCAACCCAAACCAUUCUAUGAUUCUAUGAUCUUUGUAGAGCCUUCAAACCCCACUCGCUGUGUAUGCUGAAUAUAUUGAACCCAUACCUUCCUAGAAUCAUAGAACUUAUUGGGUUGAAAGGGACCUUAAAGCCCACCCAGUUCCAUGGGCUGGUUGCCCCCCACCAGCUCAGGCUGCCCAGGGUCCAUCCAACCUGGCCUUGAGCACCUCCAGGGAUGGGGCACCACAGCUCUCUGGACAGCAGUGCCAGGGCCUCACCACUGAGUAAAGAAUCUCUUCCUAACAUCUAAAUCUCCCUUCUUUUGGUUUAAAGCCAUUCCCCCUUGUCCUCUCACUAUCAGACCAUGUAAAAAAGUUGGUCCCUCUCCUGCUAAUAAGCUCCUUUAAAUACAGGAAGGCUACAGUGAGAUCUUUCCGGAGCCUUCACUUCUCCAAGCUGAGCAAGCCCAGAACUUCUGCCUUGAGUAAAUGUUUAUCUAGAAUGCAUGUACUUUACCAUAUAAGCAACACUACAGAUACUCUCUCUCUAUACAUAUAUGCAUCUUUAUGUAUGUUUUAUUCAGCAACAUGGACAAGAAUACUACAGCAGAUGAAGAUGUUGUUGCCUUACGUAUGAGGAGCUCACCAUAACUAACUGUGGUCCAUUGGGCUCCAGAAUCUUCUACUACACUUAGUUUUUCUUGCCACUGUUUGUAGUAGGGAAAGGUCUUGAUCAAAUUCAUGGCCCCUAUUGUGGAAAGUCUUCCUGUGCCACAAUGAAUUUAAAUGAAAGUCUGCAUGAAUAGCUAGUAUACAGUCACUGCAAAAUGGAACAAACCAGCUGCACAAUGCCAAGAAUUUCAGGCAUGUGGUUUGGAAAACACUACAAUGUACGUUUAUAGCUGCAGCUCAAUUCAUUUCCUGAGAGGAAAGAUAAUGCUGUAGAAGAAUAGACACUAUACGGUCCCUCUUUAUGUGGCAUUCAUCCGUUAGAAAGUUUAUUUCAUUGGCUUCUUGUAGAUGUCAAACUGCUAAACGCAAGGCUGCAGCACAAAGAAAUUUCUUAAAUUACUGGGGGAAUAAAUUAGCUCUUAUAACAUGCUUUGAAAUUUCAAUUGCGUUCUGUAGCAAAAAGCAAGUCCCCGAGUGUGUAUAGAAUCCCAUUCCACGGACCAUUGUUUCCUUCCUGCUGCUGAAAAAUAGCUUAAAUAAAAUCCUACGAGUUUAA
ensembl:lncRNA